rnacentral:rRNA from 1 species
AUUGAACGCUGGCGGAAUGCUUUACACAUGCAAGUCGAACGGCAGCACGGACUUCGGUCUGGUGGCGAGUGGCGAACGGGUGAGUAAUGUAUCGGAACGUGCCCAGUCGUGGGGGAUAACGAAGUGAAAAUUACGCUAAUACCGCAUACGAUCUAUGGAUGAAAGCGGGGGAUCGCAAGACCUCGCGCGAUUGGAGCGGCCGAUAUCAGAUUAGGUAGUUGGUGGGGUAAAGGCCCACCAAGCCAACGAUCUGUAGCUGGUCUGAGAGGACGACCAGCCACACUGGAACUGAGACACGGUCCAGACUCCUACGGGAUGCAGCAGUGGGGAAUUUUGGACAAUGGGCGAAAGCCUGAUCCAGCCAUUCCGCGUGCAGGAUGAAGGCCCUCGGGUUGUAAACUGCUUUUGUACAGAACGAAAAGGUUUCUACUAAUACUAGGAGCUCAUGACGGUACUGUAAGAAUAAGCACCGGCUAACUACGUGCCAGCCGCCGCAGUAA